UUCUAUAAUGGAGACAACAGAUAGAAAGAAGGGAUUCAA
rnacentral:misc_RNA from 2 species